UAGCUUAAUCAGUUAUUCACUCUAUUGC
rnacentral:sRNA from 1 species